UGAGGAAUAUUGGUCAAUGGGCGAGAGCCUGAACCAGCCAAGUAGCGUGCAGGAUGACGGUCCUAUGGGUUGUAAACUGCUUUUAUAUGGGAAUAAAGUGAGGGACGUGUCCCUUAUUGCAUGUACCAUACGAAUAAGGACCGGCUAAUUCCGUGCCAGCAGCCGCGGUAAUACGGAAGGUCCAGGCGUUAUCCGGAUUUAUUGGGUUUAAAGGGAGCGUAGGCUGUUUGUUAAGCGUGUUGUGAAAUGUAAGAGCUCAACUUUUAGAUUGCAGCGCGAACUGGCAGACUUGAGUGCGCACAACGUAGGCGGAAUUCAUGGUGUAGCGGUGAAAUGCUUAGAUAUCAUGACGAACUCCGAUUGCGAAGGCAGCUUACGGGAGCGCAACUGACGCUAAAGCUCGAAGGUGCGGGUAUCGAACAGG
rnacentral:rRNA from 1 species